rnacentral:rRNA from 1 species
UAAGCAUAUCAAUAAGCGGAGGAAAAGAAACCAACAGGGAUUGCCCCAGUAACGGCGAGUGAAGCGGCAACAGCUCAAAUUUGAAAUCUGGCCCUCGGGUCCGAGUUGUAAUUUGUAGAGGAUGCUUUUGGCGAGGUGCCUUCCGAGUUCCCUGGAACGGGACGCCACAGAGGGUGAGAGCCCCGUAUGGUCGGACACCGAGCCUCUGUAAAGCUCCUUCGACGAGUCGAGUAGUUUGGGAAUGCUGCUCAAAAUGGGAGGUAUAUGUCUUCUAAAGCUAAAUAUUGGCCAGAGACCGAUAGCGCACAAGUAGAGUGAUCGAAAGAUGAAAAGCACUUUGAAAAGAGGGUUAAAAAGUACGUGAAAUUGUUGAAAGGGAAGCGCCUAUGACCAGACUUGGGCCCGGUGAAUCAUCCAGCGUUCUCGCUGGUGCACUUUGCCGGGCACAGGCCAGCAUCAGUUUGGCGCGGGGGAAAAAGGCUUCGGGAAUGUGGCUCCCUCGGGAGUGUUAUAGCCCGCUGCGUAAUACCCUGCGCCGGACUGAGGUACGCGCAUUGCAAGGAUGCUGGCGUAAUGGUCAUCAGCGACCCGUCUUGAAACACGGACCAAGGAGUCGUCUUCGUAUGCGAGUGUUCGGGUGUCAAACCCCUACGCGUAAUGAAAGUGAACGCAGGUGAGAGCUUCGGCGCAUCACCGACCGAUCCUGAUGUUCUCGGAUGGAUUUGAGUAAGAGCAUACGGGGCCGGACCCGAAAGAAGGUGAACUAUGCCUGUAUAGGGUGAAGCCAGAGGAAACUCUGGUGGAGGCUCGCAGCGGUUCUGACGUGCGAAUCGAUCGUCAAAUAUGGGCAUGGGGGCGAAAGACUAAUCGAAGCUUCUAGUAUCUGGUUUCCGCCGAAG